rnacentral:RNase_P_RNA from 1 species
GCGAAAAAAUAGAUGGUCGCUCCCCGACGUACGUCGGGGGGAGGAAAGUCCGAACUCCGAAUUGGCGUUCGCGCCAAGGAAAGCGAUAGUGGGUAACGCCCACCGCUCCGCUGGCGACAGCGGAACAGGGAAAGUGCCACAGAGACAAUACUAUCUCGGCUAGGUCGGGAGAAAGGUGAAAAGUGUAGAGAGGUAGAUGAUCUCGAGUCAUUUGCCACCCUACGGAUCCUCAUGGUGACAUGAGGAUGUGGUAAACCCUAUCUGGAGAAAGAGCAGCCCUGAACCGUUCUGGUUCAUGGGAAAAGUUCGCUCGUUGUGAUCGCGGUAGCAAUACCGGGACAAGAGAAAUGACCAUCCCUAUCUGCCGACAGGCAGGCUCGACAAAAUUCGGCUUAUCGUUUUUUCCAGUGC